rnacentral:rRNA from 1 species
GACGAACGCUGGCGGCGUGCUUAACACAUGCAAGUCGAACGGGCCUGUCUUCUUUUUUGGGGGGUGGGUUGAGUGGCGAACGGGUGAGUAUCACGUGAGUAACCUGCCCUUCGGUCCUGGAUAACCGCUUGAAAGGGCGGCUAAUACGGGGUGGUCCGGUUGGUCCGCAUGGGCUGGUCGGGAUAGAUUCACUGUUUUUGGUGUUUCGGCGGGGGAUGGGCUCGCGGCCUAUCAGCUUGUUGGUGGGGUGAUGGCCUACCAAGGCGGUGACGGGUAGCCGGCCUGAGAGGGUGGGCGGCCACGCUGGGACUGAGAUACGGCCCAGACUCCUGCGGGAGGCAGCAGUGGGGGGUAUUGCACAAUGGGCGGAAGCCUGAUGCAGCGACGUCGCGUGAGGGAUGGAGGCCUUCGGGUUGUGAACCUCUGUUUCCGGUGGUGAAGGCCCUGUCCGUGUGGUGGGGUUGACGGUAGCCGGGGAUGAAGCGCCGGCUAACUACGUG